AGCUCAGGUAGCCUAAGGGUUGGAGCGUCCACCUCGGAUGCGGGAGGUCGCAGGUUCAAAACCCGGCCGGAGGUA